UCUGGCCCCAACCCUGUUCGGGCGCCACUUGCCCCUCGGAACAAUUUGUUACUUAAACUGUAACCCUUGGAAGAUUUUAUUAGUUACCAAGCACAUUUAAAUAUGGCCUUAAGAAAUACAUAUACUGGCAACAGGUCUUUGGGGAGAAGGACAAUGUACGACAGUGAAGUUGGGCAGCCGAGAACGCCCGGCCCGUCCAGGGCGGAACACCGCCUGCUUCAGGGAAGCCAAGCACCUGGGAACGCCGGGUCAGCUCAGGGUGGAAUGAAAACCGCCUGCUUCCCUUAUCCGUUAUCGCUCCUUUCUCUUCCCAGAAGUGCCCGUUGUUAGUUAGAUGAGUCCUUUGAAUGUGCUUGGUUAACUAUAAACCUUACUCUCCUCCUUGCUUGCCUGCAAGAUGGGACUAACGUUUGACUUUUCAUCAAUCCUUCUGUUGCCUAUUUUCUAUCCAAUAAAAGUGAGACUGUGGAGUUGCUCCUGGCAGCAAUUCUUUUUGACUGUUGUCCCCUGCUCCCAAUCUCUUGCAGCUGACUUGUUUGUGCCUAAUUCUUCUCUCGUCGCCGACUGGAAGAGACGUCCACUCAAGCCGCAGAGGAGGAUGUGGGGAGUCCGCUUUACCCAGACCCUCGUCCCCUUGAACAUGGGAUAUCACAGAUGACUUCUUCUGUUGCCCCCUAACUGGUCUAACAUCCUGGAGGAACAUUGGACACCAUGAGUUACUGGCUGUUUUCCAAAAGACCACCCUCACUGCAGAUGCCAGGCGUAAAUCUCAUGGGUCCACAAGUCACCCACGUUUCUGGCCAAGUGGCUCUAAAUUCUAGGGUCCCUGCCAUGCCCAGACUAUUCAGUAAGUCACCUGGACAACUCGCAGAACUCAGGAAAGUGCCAGACUUGGGAUUCUUGUUUCACUGUAAGGACAGGCAAAGGUAAGUUCUGGAAGGUCCUAGAAGCAGAACUUCCAAGCCCCGUCGCCCAGGAGACAGGGUGUGUCACCUCCGGGCACAUGGGUGUGUUUACCAUCCAAGAAGCUCCCCUAAGCCUCAAUGCUCAGCAUUUUUAUUGGGGCUUGGGGUUUUAUUGGAUUGAUAUCUAGUGGCUCGAAGCACCAACACUCUCAGUCACACAGUUGGUCUCUACGGUGUGGCUGACCCCCAUCCGGAUUCCUCCCUUUGCAUCAACAAUCAGUCAUCUCAUUACUGUAAACUAUCAGGGCCCACCAAGAAUAACAAAGAACUCCUGUCACUUGGAAAAUCCCAAGGAUUCAGUUUCCCUCCUAAGAACCAGGAACGAGGGCCAAAUUCUUCCUGGUGCAACAUCUCUUGACUGGUCUUGAUGGGUAAGUAACCUCUUGUCUUUUAAGCAAUAUCCACUCAAAAAAUAUUUAGAGGCAGCCCCCCGCUUCCCUCCUGCACAGCUCAGGGAGAAGCUAAACGUGAAUGAUGGGUACAGUCCCUGACCUCCUGGUGCUCAGAAUCCACUGGAGAUUAGAGCAUUACAACACAGUGGGGAGCCUGAGGUCGGGACAGGAAGGCCGAGCCACGGGCACCCUCAGAAGGAGCAGUGAACUGUGGCAAUGAGCCAAGGAAGAGGGGGAGAAAAAGUUCUAGGUGGAUGGCAUAGGUGUCAAAGCUGAGAGGCACAAAGGAAGCUGACCAGUCAAGGGGCUGAAGGAAGUUCAGAGGACUUUGCAUCUAGAGCACGAGGGGAGAAUGGAGAGAUACAGGGCUGGAAAGUUCUGUGGGGGGUGCUGGGUGACGGCUACAGGCUCAACCCCAGUACAAGGACACGCUGUGUUUUCCUCAAACACAGCAUUCAUGAUGCCAGGCCUUUGUUUAGAAACCUACUGUGGUUACCCCUGAGCUUCUGCGGCUUGGUGCUGGGCCAGAGCUCAUAAUUCAUAGCUGGGUUUCUUAAGCUCCAAUCAAUCAGUUUGGAUGGGAAAUGGUUGCACUUUUUUCCAGUGAGCUCUUGUUUGAAAUUUUGUGUCUCCUAUAAGCGCGACUGUAGAUCCGAGAGCCCAGCAGUAUGAGGAGUAACAGAGCGUCUGUGUUACGCGUUAUACCCACCAGACCUGCUGCUAGACCUUGCUAACAGAAUAACAAAGAAGCACAUUUUUAUUCAAACAAAAAUCUGGAGUUUUAAUUUCGAUUAUUGUAUUUAACUAUAUUCAUUUCCUGGGGCGCCUGAUGGGGCUCAGUAGAUUAAGUCUCUGGCUCUGGCUCCAGUCAUGAUCCUGGGGUCCUGGGAUCGAGUCCUGUAUUGGGCUCCCUGCUCAGUGGGAAGCCCGCUUUCCUCACUCCCUCUGCUGCUCCCCCUGCUUGUGCUUUCUCGCUUGCUCUCAAAUAAACAAAAAACUUUUUUUUUUUUAAAGAUUUUA
ensembl:lncRNA